ensembl:lncRNA
CUCUCUCUCUCUCUCUCUCUCUCGCUCUCUCACACACACACACACACACACACACAGACUUGGCUCAUAAAGUAGCAAGUUUAACUGCAAGAGUGCAAGAUUAACACUGGCAUUAAUUAAUUUAUUUCACGGCUUUAUAGAAUUCCAUUCAGGGAGAUUGACUCAGUCCCGGACUCACAGGAGUAACAUAAUUGGACAUAAGAGAUUAUGCUUUUUCAGAUAUUAUCUUUAUUUUUUUUCAAAAAAGGUUUCAAAAAUCAAAGUGCAUGACAAACGGAGUUAUUGACUCCCAAAAGAAAGAACCGAUUCUGAACAGCCUGAAACAAGUCGUUAGUAAUUCAACACUUACUUCCUGUACAAACCUACAUAGGGUCUUCAUUGGCGGCUCGUGAAACAACGUGACUUUGACCCGCCCUCAGACACUACAGUUGAUGUUGCAUCCUGAAAGGGUUAGGUUCAUGUCUAGAAGAUGUUGUUUUCUGCGCUGCAAAAGCAAAACCACUUUGCAUGGAUUCCCAAAGGAUGAUGGUGUAAAGCGUCAGUGGUUAAAAUUCAUUUUAAACUGAUACCACAGCAGUUCAACGCUGACCUUCGUUUGUGUUCCCAUCAUUUCACUGAUGACUGCUUCUCAAAUCGAGUCAAUGCGGGAUUUGCGAAACGAUUAUUGAUUAAAGAUUCGCCAGUACCCACUUUAUUUGGACCAUUUUGUGCCUCUGGAUCACAACCUCAGGAGAUUGCAGAAUCUGAAGGCUGCAUGAGCAGGGCUGACUAAUAUUGCAGGCACAAGAGCGCUGGUGCAGUGGAGGUGGUGGAUUGCACACAGGAACAAAACCAACAUACUGUAAGUUCAACUGGGAUUAAAGUCAUUAUCUUUUUCAGGUCACGGUUCAUAGCCAAAGCCUCAAACAGCAUUCAACCAACCAUCCAUGAUCUCACAUAACUCCUAUUCAUUAUAUUCUCCUAAUUACAGAUCAUAACGUCUAUGGACACUGGACCUCUGUAGAGGAUAG